rnacentral:rRNA from 1 species
CCUACGGGUGGCAGCAGUGAGGAAUAUUGCUCAAUGGGCGCUAGCCUGAUCCAGCCAAGUAGCGUGAAGGAUGACUGCCCUAUGGGUUGUAAACUUCUUUUUUAUGGGACUAUAGUGCAGUAUGUAUACUGCUUUGCAUGUACCUUAUGAAUAAGGAUCGGCUAAAUCCGUGCCAGCAGCCGCGGUAAUACGGAGGAUCCGAUCGUUCUCCGGAUUUAUUGGGUUGAAAGGGAGCGUAGGCGGGUUGUUAAGUUAGUUGUGAAAGUGUGCGGCUCAACCGUAAAAUUGCAGUUGAUACUGGCAUCCUUGAGUACAGUAGAGGUAGGCGGAAUUCGUGGUGUAGCGGUGAAAUGCGUAGAUAUCAGGAAGAACUCCGAUGGCGAAGGCAGCCUGCUGGACUGUAACUGACGCUGAGGCUCGAAAGUGUGGGUAGCAAACAGGAUUAGAUACCCGUGUAGUC